rnacentral:rRNA from 1 species
GAUGAACGCUGGCGGCGUGCUUAACACAUGCAAGUCGAACGAAGCACCUUAUUCUGAUUUCUUCGGAAUGAAAAAUUUGGUGACUGAGUGGCGGACGGGUGAGUAACGCGUGGGUAACCUGCCUCAUACAGGGGGAUAACAGUUAGAAAUGACUGCUAAUACCGCAUAAGACCACAGCACCGCAUGGUGCAGGGGUAAAAACUCCGGUGGUAUGAGAUGGACCCGCGUCUGAUUAGGUAGUUGGUGGGGUAACGGCCUACCAAGCCGACGAUCAGUAGCCGACCUGAGAGGGUGACCGGCCACAUUGGGACUGAGACACGGCCCAAACUCCUACGGGAGGCAGCAGUGGGGAAUAUUGCACAAUGGGGGAAACCCUGAUGCAGCGACGCCGCGUGAGCGAUGAAGUAUUUCGGUAUGUAAAGCUCUAUCAGCAGGGAAGAAAAUGACGGUACCUGACUAAGAAGCACCGGCUAAAUACGUGCCAGCAGCCGCGGUAAUACGUGUGGUGCAAGCGUUAUCCGGAUUUACUGGGUGUAAAGGGAGCGUAGACGGAGUGGCAAGUCUGAUGUGAAAACCCGGGGCUCAACCCCGGGACUGCAUUGGAAACUGUCAAUCUGGAGUACCGGAGAGGUAAGCGGAAUUCCUAGUGUAGCGGUGAAAUGCGUAGAUAUUAGGAGGAACACCAGUGGCGAAGGCGGCUUACUGGACGGUAACUGACGUUGAGGCUCGAAAGCGUGGGGAGCAAACAGGAUUAGAUACCCUGGUAGUCCACGCCGUAAAACGAUGACUACUAGGUGUCGGGCAGCAAAGCUGUUCUGUGCCGCAGCAAACGCAAAUAAGUAGUCCACCUGGGGAGUACGUUCGCAAGAAUGAAAACUCAAAGGAAUUGACGGGGACCCGCACAAGCGGUGGAGCAUGUGGUGUAAUUCGAAGCAACGCGAAGAACCUUACCUGCUCUUGACAUCUCCCUGACCGGCAAGUAAUGUUGCCUUUCCUUCGGGACAGGGAUGACAGGUGGUGCAUGGUUGUCGUCAGCUCGUGUCGUGAGAUGUUGGGUUAAGUCCCGCAACGAGCGCAACCCCUAUCUUUAGUAGCCAGCGGUUCGGCCGGGUACUCUAGAGAGACUGCCAGGGAUAACCUGGAGGAAGGUGGGGAUGACGUCAAAUCAUCAUGCCCCUUAUGAGCAGGGCUACACACGUGCUACAAUGGCGUAAACAAAGGGAGGCAGAACCGCGAGGUCGAGCAAAUCCCAAAAAUAACGUCUCAGUUCGGAUUGUAGUCUGCAACUCGACUACAUGAAGCUGGAAUCGCUAGUAAUCGCGAAUCAGAAUGUCGCGGUGAAUACGUUCCCGGGUCUUGCAC